AUGAAGAUGAGUCAUGCACAUGGAUUCCUCCAAUGAACUGAUUUUGCAGCUCAAGGCACAUGGGAGGAGGGGAAUAAACCCCCCUAACAAGAAGGAUCUGAAUCUCUAUGCUGCUUGGACUCUGGAGGACCGUGUUCUCUAAGUAUAAGCAAGGGAUCCCCAGCUGCUAAGCCUGGAUAGACACUUAUAUAAUAAACUACAAGCAUUGUCUUCGGUGUGAGAGCUAAGGUGCAACUGCCCUGGGGUUUUGAGAACAAGACUUAUUUUGGGGGAUCCUAAUCCUUUCUUGGGAGUUGAAGAUUGCACGUUCAGCAGCUGAAGCACAGGAAAAGAAUGUUUUAGCAAGUGACACUUUCUCUUUUCUCUUUAUAGUCAGAAGCUUUUUAGUCAUUAAAAGCUUACCCUGCUCAGGUCUGUCAUGCCACAGAAACUGAAACUAAACUUCUAAAAGACAGGACUUUCACCUCACAUCUGCUCUGACUGAGUUAAGACAGACUGAGGGAUCAGAUUCUAGAUAAUAUAUUUGUGUGUUUUAAACUGUGAAAUGUUUCCUGUAACAGAUACAAUUAUAAGUUUCCCUUUUAUUAUGCUGCUUUGA